rnacentral:rRNA from 1 species
CCUACGGGAGGCAGCAGUGAGGAAUAUUGGUCAAUGGACGAGAGUCUGAACCAGCCAAGUAGCGUGAAGGAUGACUGCCCUAUGGGUUGUAAACUUCUUUUAUAUGGGAAUAAAAUGUUCCACGUGUGGGAUUUUGUAUGUACCAUAUGAAUAAGGAUCGGCUAAGUCCGUGCCAGCAGCCGCGGUAAUACGGAGGGUCCGAGCGUUAUCCGGAUUUAUUGGGUUUAAAGGGAGCGUAGGUGGAUUGUUAAGCCAGUUGUGAAAGUUUGCGGCUCAACCGUAAAAUUGCAGUUGAAACUGGCAGUCUUGAGUACAGUAGAGGUGUGCGGAAUUCGUGGUGUAGCGGUGAAAUGCUUAGAUAUCACGAAGAACUCCGAUUGCGAAGGCAGUUCACUGGACUGCAACUGACACUGAGGCUCGAAAGUGUGGGUAUCAAACAGGAUUAGAUACCCCAGUAGUC